AAACCAGGGGCCGUAUGCAUAAAACAUCUUAACUUAAGUAUUCCUUAAACUUAGAUUUCACUAAGAAUUUCCUUAGUUAAGUAAAAUUCUUAAGUGGUAUGCAUAAACUUACUUAAGUCUUAACUUAACUAAGGAAUACUUAAAUCGGAACCUUUCUCUAAUUACCGUAUGAUAUAUACUAGCUCAUCACAUGUACUCAUCCGUGUAAAAGUUUGUUGUGAUUAUUUAAAUCUAUUGAUCAACGCAUGCUUUUAUUUUAAAGAGCUGUGGUUAAAUUGAUAUAGGUGUACAUGUAAAACAAUUCAAUAGAACGUAACAUAUAUAUAUAGUAUAAUGAUGAACAAUUGGCGCAUAUAAGACAACACUCUUUAAGGUUGAUGUUUUGACGGAUGAGCAUUGGAAGAAAAAUAUUUCGGUAAUCCAAGACUUUCCUCUACUUAAUCUUUAAUCAUCUGUUAAUGGGUGUAAUAUUUUCUGGAUACAGCCAUAUAUUUUUUUUAAACUCUAACAAAACAUGAUCAAGGUUUCAGUGGCGUAGCAC
rnacentral:lncRNA from 1 species